CAUAGGGGUCAAGCGAAGUCAGAAGGGUUCUAACCUAAUCUUUACCACUUGGCUAACCUAGAGAUUACCCUAAUCUAAUCCAUCCUCAAGAACCCUAAUCACUACUCAAGCAACAUUCUCAAGAACACAAACCCAGAAAUUACUGAAAUCAUACCAAAAUGUAGAUCUAAACAAGCUAAACAACUUUACUUAAACAACUAAAUGCAAAACAAAAUAGAUUAAGAGUAAUUAAGUUUUGAAGAUUCAUAAACACAAAGAAAAACUAAAGGAUAAAAGCUCGAUCCUUUGGACAAACUCCAAAGUGAUCUAUUUAUAGUAAAACGUU
rnacentral:sRNA from 1 species